AACGCGAAGAACCUUACCUGGGCUUGACAUCCUGUGAACAUCUAAGAGAUUAGGUUUCCGAGCAAUCGGACACAGAGACAGGUGCUGCAUGGCUGUCGUCAGCUCGUGCCGUGAGGUGUUGGGUUAAGUCCCGCAACGAGCGCAACCCUUGUCGUGUGUUGGUCCACAAGAUCUCUCACACGAGACCGCCGGUGACAAGCCGGAGGAAGGUGGGGAUGACGUCAAGUCAGCAUGGCCCUUACGUCCGGGGCUACACACGUGCUACAAUGGAAGGGACAGCGAGUCGCUAACCCGCGAGGGCAAGCUAAUCUCUUAAACCCUUCCUCAGUUCGGAUUGGAGGCUGCAACUCGCCUCCAUGAAGUCGGAAUCGCUAGUAACCGCAGAUCAGCUACGCUGCGGUGAAUACGUUCCCGGGCCUUGUACACACCGACAUA
rnacentral:rRNA from 1 species